AACGAACGCUGGCGGCGCGCCUAAUACAUGCAAGUCGAGCGGUAAGGCCCUUUCGGGGGUACACGAGCGGCGAACGGGUGAGUAACACGUGGGUGACCUGCCCUCAGCUCUGGGAUAAGCCCGGGAAACUGGGUCUAAUACCGGAUAUGACUCCAUGACGCAUGUUGUGGGGUGGAAAGCCUUGUGCGGCUGAGGAUGGGCCCGCGGCCUAUCAGCUUGUUGGUGGGGUGAUGGCCACCAAGGCGACGACGGGUAGCCGGCCUGAGAGGGCGACCGGCCACACUGGGACUGAGAUACGGCCCAGACCCCUACGGGAGGCAGCAGUGGGGAAUCUUGCGCAGUGGGCGAAAGCCUGACGCAGCGACGCCGCGUGAGGGAUGACGGCC
rnacentral:rRNA from 1 species